rnacentral:rRNA from 1 species
UACGUAGGGUCCGAGCGUUGUCCGGAGUUACUGGGCGUAAAGCGCGCGCAGGCGGCGGUAUAAGCAUGGCGUGAAAGCCCCAGGCUUAACCUGGGAGGGUCGUCGUGGACUGUACCGCUUGAGGGCGGUAGGGGCUGGUGGAAUGCCUGGUGUAGUGGUGAAAUGCGUAGAGAUCAGGCGGAACACCAGUGGCGAAGGCGGCCAGCUGGGCCGUCCCUGACGCUGAGGCGCGAAGGCGUGGGGAGCGAACGGG